AAAUAUGAAGCAAUUUUGCAUUUAAUUUCGACUUAAAAGAAUGAGCUUAAUAAGCUCCUUAUUUA
rnacentral:tRNA from 1 species